rnacentral:rRNA from 1 species
GCUUGCUCUUUUGGAAGAGUUGCGAACGGGUGAGUAACGCGUAGGUAACCUGCCUGGUAGUGGGGGAUAACUAUUGGAAACGAUAGCUAAUACCGCAUAAUAGCUUUGAUUGCAUGAUUGAAGUUUGAAAGAUGCAACUGCAUCACUACCAGAUGGACCUGCGUUGUAUUAGCUAGUAGGUGAGGUAAAGGCUCACCUAGGCGACGAUACAUAGCCGACCUGAGAGGGUGAACGGCCACACUGGGACUGAGACACGGCCCAGACUCCUACGGGAGGCAGCAGUAGGGAAUCUUCGGCAAUGGGGGCAACCCUGACCGAGCAACGCCGCGUGAGUGAAGAAGGUUUUCGGAUCGUAAAGCUCUGUUGUAAGAGAAGAACGUGUGUGAGAGUGGAAAGUUCACACAGUGACGGUAACUUACCAGAAAGGGACGGCUAACUACGUGCCAGCAGCCGCGGUAAUACGUAGGUCCCGAGCGUUACCCGGAUUUAUUGGGCGUAAAGCGAGCGCAGGCGGUUGGAUAAGUCUGAAGUUAAAGGCUGUGGCUCAACCAUAGUAUGCUUUGGAAACUGUUCAACUUGAGUACAGAAGGGGAGAGUGGAAUUCCAUGUGUAGCGGUGGAAUGCGUAGAUAUAUGGAGGAACACCGGUGGCGAAAGCGGCUCUCUGGUCUGUAACUGACGCUGAGGCUCGAAAGCGUGGGUAGCGA